rnacentral:lncRNA from 1 species
ACGCAGGGGUUCGGCCUGGCUGAGGGAAGCCUCCCUGAAUCUUGCCUCUAUAUGUUUUAAGGAGAAUUUCGGUCCCAGCAAAAACUGACCACCCGGAGUCUUCCACCGUCUCUCUUUAUAAAUCUCUUCGAACCUCAAGCAACUCCCUGCCUCCUUCGUCUGGGGUCUGCGCCCAGCGGGGUCAAAGCCUUGAGUUCCUUGGCAGAGAGUGUGGAACAGCCGUGAGCCCUUCAAGACACGCCAGUGAGCCCGGUGAUUUUUUUUUUCAAGGGGCCUUGGAUGGUCUGCA